rnacentral:ncRNA from 2 species
UACUUAUUCAGAGUCGGUGGAGCUACAUAGGAGCUAUGAAACCGCAGCAACCCCGGAAAACCGGAAGGUGCUAACCUGAGCGAACUAAUUUUGUUUCGAACAAUAAGAG